CUACACUGCGAAAAAGAAAUAAAUAAGAGGGGUCCGCAGCAGACGCGGGACAAGAGGUGUGAGGAUGAGAGAGCGUGGACUCGAUGACGGUCGCGGUGAGGGCAACGAUGGCAAAGAAGUGCGAACUAGCGAGCGGCCCCGCAGCGAAAAGUCGAAAUCGAUGCGGUACCGCAACCAUAUCAGGGAUGAGUCAGUCAUCUCGGCACCAGUUCAAGAAGAGCGGUUCGACACGAAAAACGACAAUUUCGCCCCCCCCCCUCCGAUCGUCCUGAUGUCGUCUUGACCUCGCCGUAUGUUGUUUCUUCCUCACUGGGCGGCGUGAGGUCGGCUCGUUCGGUUCGGCCCGGCGGCGGGUGCGGUGCGGGUAGCGCCCGGAGGUCGGGCCGGCCCGUUGCUCGCGAGUGCCCGGCUUGGUGGCCUACCCGCGCAGGGGCUCUGGCUCCGACCCGAGCGGUGCUGCAGAAAAUUUGCGGCUUUUAAAAGCCCAAGCUGGGCUGCGUGAGCCGCCGCCGCCGCCGCCGCCGCCGUCGGGCUCAGCGACGAUGCAACCACCAAGAAGCUCAUCAGGUGGCCACAGAUUAAUUUGCGUAAUCUUUCGACGGAGGCAGUUGUGCGUGACGCACAAUGUCUCAACGCGUACUGGCUGCUCUCAGCCGGGGCUGGAGCAGGCGACGACGACGCGGCUGUUUUCAGUGAGAAUUGACGACGGUGGAAAACGAUAUCAUAUCGUUGCGACACGACGAUUCCCCGUGUAUCGUUUCAGUCUCAUCGUCUGCCGAGAAUCAAAGAUUCCCGAAAGGAACUGAGACGAGAAUGAUGGUUAUAUUUGCGCCGUAUUGAUUUUCAACUCGUUUACUAUCCUCUCAAGCCGGAAGCAACUUAAAUCUAUCCCUGAAUACUGAGAAUCCAGCAUAUGUUCAGCGAGACCUCGACCAAUCGCAGGCG